GUCCGGGUGGUGGAAUUGGUAGACACGUAUGGUUGAGGGCCAUAUGGCAAAUUUGCUGUAGGAGUUCAAGUCUCCUCCCGGACACCA
rnacentral:tRNA from 1 species